rnacentral:rRNA from 1 species
UCGAGCGAACAGACGAGGAGCUUGCUCCUCUGACGUUAGCGGCGGACGGGUGAGUAACACGUGGAUAACCUACCUAUAAGACUGGGAUAACUUCGGGAAACCGGAGCUAAUACCGGAUAAUAUAUUGAACCGCAUGGUUCAAUAGUGAAAGACGGUUUUGCUGUCACUUAUAGAUGGAUCCGCGCCGCAUUAGCUAGUUGGUAAGGUAACGGCUUACCAAGGCAACGAUGCGUAGCCGACCUGAGAGGGUGAUCGGCCACACUGGAACUGAGACACGGUCCAGACUCCUACGGGAGGCAGCAGUAGGGAAUCUUCCGCAAUGGGCGAAAGCCUGACGGAGCAACGCCGCGUGAGUGAUGAAGGUCUUCGGAUCGUAAAACUCUGUUAUUAGGGAAGAACAAAUGUGUAAGUAACUAUGCACGUCUUGACGGUACCUAAUCAGAAAGCCACGGCUAACUACGUGCCAGCAGCCGCGGUAAUACGUAGGUGGCAAGCGUUAUCCGGAAUUAUUGGGCGUAAAGCGCGCGUAGGCGGUUUUUUAAGUCUGAUGUGAAAGCCCACGGCUCAACCGUGGAGGGUCAUUGGAAACUGGAAAACUUGAGUGCAGAAGAGGAAAGUGGAAUUCCAUGUGUAGCGGUGAAAUGCGCAGAGAUAUGGAGGAACACCAGUGGCGAAGGCGACUUUCUGGUCUGUAACUGACGCUGAUGUGCGAAAGCGUGGGGAUCAAACAGGAUUAGAUACCCUGGUAGUCCACGCCGUAAACGAUGAGUGCUAAGUGUUAGGGGGUUUCCGCCCCUUAGUGCUGCAGCUAACGCAUUAAGCACUCCGCCUGGGGAGUACGACCGCAAGGUUGAAACUCAAAGGAAUUGACGGGGACCCGCACAAGCGGUGGAGCAUGUGGUUUAAUUCGAAGCAACGCGAAGAACCCUUACCAAUCUUGACAUCCUCUGACCCCUCUAGAGAUAGAGUUUUCCCCUUUCGGGGGACAGAGUGACACGUGCUGCAUGGUUGUCGUCAGCUCGUGUCGUGAGAUGUUUGGGGUUAAGUCCGCACGAGC